rnacentral:rRNA from 1 species
GAGUUUGAUCCUGGCUCAGAUUGAACGCUGGCGGAAUGCUUUACACAUGCAAGUCGAGCGGCAGCGCGGGGCAACCUGGCGGCGAGCGGCGAACGGGUGAGUAAUGCAUCGGAACAUGUCCAUGUCGUGGGGGAUAGCCCGGCGAAAGCCGGAUUAAUACCGCAUACGCCCGAGAGGGGAAAGUGGGGACCGCAAGGCCACACGCGAUUGGGUUGGCCGAUGUCCGAUUAGCUAGUUGGCGGGGUAAUGGCCCACCAAGGCGAUGAUCG